AUUGAACGCUGGCGGCAUGCCUUACACAUGCAAGUCGAACGGCAGCAUAGAGAGCUUGCUCUCUGAUGGCGAGUGGCGAACGGGUGAGUAAAGCAUCGGAACGUACCGUGUAGUGGGGGAUAACGUAGCGAAAGUUACGCUAAUACCGCAUACGUACUGAGGUAGAAAGCAGGGGAUCGUAAGACCUUGCGCUAUACGAGCGGCCGAUGUCAGAUUAGCUAGUUGGUAGGGUAAAGGCCUACCAAGGCGACGAUCUGUAGCGGGUCUGAGAGGAUGAUCCGCCACACUGGGACUGGGACACGGCCCAGACUCCUACGGGAGGCAGCAGUGGGGAAUUUUGGACAAUGGGGGCAACCCUGAUCCAGCCAUGCCGCGUGAGUGAAGAAGGCCUUCGGGUUGUAAAGCUCUAUCGGCCGGGAAGAAAUCGCACAGGCUAAUACCCUGUGUGGAUGACGGUACCGGCAUAAGAAGCACCGGCUAACUACGUGCCAGCCGCCGCGGUAA
rnacentral:rRNA from 1 species